rnacentral:rRNA from 1 species
GAUGAACGCUGGCGGCGUGCCUAAUACAUGCAAGUCGAGCGAACAGACGAGGAGCUUGCUCCUCUGACGUUAGCGGCGGACGGGUGAGUAACACGUGGAUAACCUACCUAUAAGACUGGGAUAACUUCGGGAAACCGGAGCUAAUACCGGAUAAUAUAUUGAACCGCAUGGUUCAAUAGUGAAAGACGGUUUUGCUGUCACUUAUAGAUGGAUCCGCGCCGCAUUAGCUAGUUGGUAAGGUAACGGCUUACCAAGGCGACGAUGCGUAGCCGACCUGAGAGGGUGAUCGGCCACACUGGAACUGAGACACGGUCCAGACUCCUACGGGAGGCAGCAGUAGGGAAUCUUCCGCAAUGGGCGAAAGCCUGACGGAGCAACGCCGCGUGAGUGAUGAAGGUCUUCGGAUCGUAAAACUCUGUUAUUAGGGAAGAACAAAUGUGUAAGUAACUAUGCACGUCUUGACGGUGUCUAAUCAGAAAGCCACGGCUAACUACGUG